rnacentral:lncRNA from 1 species
GACUACAGGACCAGAACCGCGGUAUUGUGCCGGCUAAUUCUUUACUCUUGAAAGCCUUUCACUUGUCUUUUGAAGGUUUAACCUCCAGUGUAAUCACUUCUCCUUCCUUUGUGGGCCUAAAGCACAUUUACAUGUAUCACUAUGGUACUUAAAAUGUUUUAGGAUUAUCUAUAGCCCCUACAAGUGCUGUGACUGCAGGGCAGAGACUAUCAUUAAUCCCUAGGCAAGCUUCCCCUAGGGAGCAAAGUUUUUUGAAAUUUUAUUUUCAUGUUUAAUGGAUGAAUAACUGUAUAUAUUGGUAGGAUACAAAGUGAUGUUUCAGUGUAUGUAUACACUGUGGAAUAAGGAAGUCAGACUAAUUAACAUACCAUCACCUCACUUUUUUUUUUUUGUAGUGACAACAUUUUAAAGUCACUCUAACAAUUCUGAGCCAUACAUUGUUGUUGUUUGUUCUUUUUUUGUGUGGUGCUGGGGAUUAAAUCUAGGGCUUGUGCAUGGAAGGCAAGCACUCUACCACCUGAGCUACAACCCCAGCCCUAUACAUUGUUAUUAACUAUAGUCAACUUGCUGUGGAGAUCACCAGAACUUAUUCUUCCCCUCCUGAGUCUAACUGAAACUUGUACCCUUUGUACAACAAUACUCCUUUCCCUGCCCACUUUCCCCUGCCCUCAGUCUCUGGUAACCACUAUUCUUCUUUCUACUUGACUUGGACUUUUUUAGAUACCACAUACAAGUAAAAUCAUGAGACAUUUGUCUUUCUGUGCCUGGCUUAUUUCACUUAAGGUGGUAUCCUCUAGAAUCAUCUAUGUUGCAAGUGACAGCAUUUCAUUCUUUUUAAAGAUGAUUGUAUUGUUACAGUAUACAACCUUUUAAAAGUCCCAUUAAUUUAGUAACAGGCACUUAGGUUGUUUCUAAAUCUUAGCUACUGUAACACUGCAACAAACACACAUCUCUUUCGCAUAGGGAUUUCAAUUCCUUUGGAUAUAUAUUCAGAAGUGGGGUUUCGAGAUCAUAUGGCAAUUUUCUUAGUUUUUUGAGGAAUCUCCCUAUUGUUUUCCAAAAUAGCCAUACUAAUUUGCAUUACCACCACGGGUUUACAAGAGCUCCCUAUUCUCUAUAUCCUCAUCAGCAUUUUUCUUUGUUUUUUUUGUUUGUUUGUUUGUUUUUGUUUUUGUUUACUAGCCCUUCUAACAGAUUAAGGUAUCUCAUUGUGGUUUUUUUUUAAACAUUUAUUUAUGUAUCUUUAAUUUUAGGUGGAUACAUUAGUUUGUUUUUAUGUGGUGCCAAGGUUCGAACCCAGUGUCUCGUGCAUGUUAGGCGUACACUCUAUCACUGAGCCACCACUCCAGCCCUCAUUGUGGUUUUAAUUUGCAUGGGGAAUAAACAAAAAUUUUAUGUUAAGUAGAACUGGACCAUCUCUUGUGCAGUUUUGACUUGUUUCAUUGUAUCAGUAUCUCUGUCUGUGUCUGUCUCACUCCCUCUCCGUCCUUCUCUCUCCCUCCCUUCUGAAAAAGGAUUUUGACUUCACUUAAGAAAUCUGGUUGUCUCCCAAGCAGGGUAGCACAUACCUAUAAUCCCAGCAAUUUGGGAGGCGGAGGCAGGAAGAUCAGUAAGUUCAAGCCAGCCUCAGCAACUUAAUGAGACCCUGUUUCAAAAAAUAAAAAGUGUUAGGGGUAUAGCUCAAUGGCAGAGCACCCCUAGGUUCAAUCCCCAAUAUGGGAAUCAGGUGGGGGGUUGUCACAUAUACACCAAAAAUAGGUAAUUGUGCAAGGUGAUCCUAAAAGUCUUUCCUAACACUGAAACUCUGAUUCUGUGUGAUAGGGUUUUAACUCUGCCUUAUUGUAUAAACACAAAUCUACAUCUUGCAUUUUGGUAGUCAUUCUAUUUAGCAGUGUGUUUCUACCUAGAAAGAGUAUGACCAACUUGUAAGUAAAGGGGGAAAAAAAUCAGUGGAUGGGGAAGUUGUUUUAGAAAAAAGAAAAUUUCAUCCACAUCAAUUAUAGAUUAUUGAGAUUUCUGUUUUUGAAUAGGUAUCUUUAAAAAUUAGUAAGUACUCAUUGUCAAAAAAGAUGACCUAAGCCAAGGGCAGUGGCACACGCCUGUAAUCCCAGUGGCUCCAGAGGCUGAGGCAGGAGGAGCAUGAGUUCAAAGCCAGCCUCAGCAAGGGUGAAGUGCUAAGCAACUCAGUGAGACCCUGUCUCUAAAUAAAAUACAAAAUAGGGCUGGGGAUGGGGCUCAGUGGUUAAGUGCCCCUAAGUUCAAGCCCUGGUACCAAAAAAAAAAAAAAAAAAAAAAGGAUGGCUUAAAGGAAAAUAGGUUGAAAAUACAGUAAUAGGACUUGUGAACCUUACUCUGCUUUAAUAUUGAAGAUCAGGUAGUUAAAGUAAAUGAAAGCUCCCAAGGGGAAUGAUACCUCUGUCUCCUAGAUACCCCAACGUAACCACUUGGCAGAUAUACAGAGGGCUAGUAAACGAAAUGAAUGGGGAAGGAGAGGAAAUGUUAGCAUGUUGAGCUAAGUUACUAAAGGCAUGACCCGCAUUUGGAAAUAAUUUCUAAUUUGUCACUUGAAAGUCUAUACUACUGUUUGGCACUGUAAGAGAGUUACUUACUUUUUUCAUUCACAUUUUUCAGUUCCUUUGUUUGGGCGUCCUGUGAUUCUGUCACAUCUCAGUUUCAGGACUAGCAGUAUAUUUUCUCAGCUCCCGAAUCGAUCUACGUGCUUUAGAUCUUUGAUGAAAUCUAUUGGAUUUUAACAAAAGAAAACAAAUUGAUUACACAACAUGGACUGGGGGAGAAAAGGCAUUUCUUUUAAGUCUUUUUGAUGGAAAAAUGAAAUUGGGAUACAUAUGGUUUCAUUUUGAAAUAUAUAAAUGCUGCUGCUCAGACACAAAAGGGUAGGGAAGGAAUUGAAAAGUAUUUUUUUUUUCUUUUUAGAAUAUGUUGCAAUUUCUCCAAAACAGAGAGCAAAAGCAGUAAAUGCAUUCAUAUAACAGAUGCUAGAUGCUAUAUUCAUUGUGAAUUGAGGGAAGGAAUUUACAAUGUUGGGACAUGGUCUGACAAACAUAAAAAAAAAAAAAAAAAACAAGAACACUUUAAUAGCUUUGCAUUUAGAAAAAAAAUCAAACUUCUUACUGUGACCUCUAAAGCUAUUAGCAGAGCAGCCCUUUUCUGCUUCUCCUUUCUCCCCCGUCUCCUGCCCCUGUUUCUCUCACUCACUACACUAGGAUCUCACUGAGUCUGUCUGGUCAUUGCCAUUCCCUCUCACCUUAGGGCCUGUCUUCUGAUCCAGAUGCUUAAACAGCUUGUUUCCUGGCUCUUCACAUGGAUGACUUCUCAUUCAUCAAGUAUCAGCUUAAAUGAAAAAAAAAAAAAAAAAAACCCUCAGAUAUUAUAUUGUCAUAUGCCAAGAAAGUCCAUCGCAGCCCUCUUGGUAGAAACAAACAGUUAUGAAUAAUCUUAACUGCCUCAGUAAGAGAACAGAUGAGGGCUGGGGUUGUAGCUUAGUGGUAGAGCACUUACCUUGCAUGCAUGAGGCCCUGGGUUUGAUCCUCGGCACCACAUACAAAUAAAUAAAUAAAAAUAAAGAUAUUGUGUCCAUCCAUAACUAAAAAAAAUUUAAAAAAAAAGAAUGAAUGAUUAAAUUAGUAUAUUUGUACAGUGUUCAAAUGAAUUAGAGCUACUUGCACCAAUGUGAAUACAUCUAAAAACCAGUACUGGCUAGCUGCAAACCAAGCGUUUUGGGCUUACAGGAGGAUAACAAGUUCAAAGCCAGCCUCAGCGAGGCCCUAAGCAAUUUAAUGAGAUCCUGUCUCAAAAUAAAAAGGGCUGGUGAUGUGGCUCAGUGGUUAAGCACCCUUGGGUUCAAUCCCCAGUCCCAAAAUAAAACAAAUUCUGAAUGAAACAUGCAAUCUCUUUUGAUACCACUCUAUACUUUCACAGCACAUAAAACACUAUCUAUAAUAUAUUGAAGUAUAAAUCUAGAUGAGGAUAAUAUACACCACCUUCAAGAUUGUAGUUACUUCUAGGAAGGGGUAAGGGAUGAGGUGGUGCUUUAUUAGUUAGCAGUUACUAGUCAGCUAAUGGAAUUUUAAAUUAUUUUUUAUUAAUUUUAUAGUGAUACAUAAUAGUGGGAGUCAUUGUGAGAUAUUCAUCCAGGUAUAUAGCAUGAUGGGUCACUUUGAUUUCCCAGCCCUCCCCUUUUCUUCCCUGUCUCCCCUUGCUCUACUGUACUAGUCUCCCUUCUAAUUUCCUGAGACCCUCCCUUUAUUUCUUUUUUCCUCUGUAGCUUCCACAUAUGAGAAAACAUACAACUCUUGACUUUCUGAGUCUGGCUUAUUUCUCUUAACAUAUGCUGCAAUGGAUUUCUUCAAGAAAAACAUGAAGAAAAUAUGACCUUUUUGCUAUCUGUUAGAUCUGGGGAUAGAGAUAUGAUUGUUUAAUGUAUUCUGUAUGUUUCAAUAUUUUUUAAAUAUUUGAUCAUUUUAGAACAUUUAAAUUAAUGUUUGUAUUAGUAUAAUUUACACUAGCUGUCAUAACAAACUCCAGAAUCUCAAUAACUUAACACAGUUUUGAGCUCACAAAGUUCAAUAAAGAUGGGCCUAAUAGGAGGCUUUCCUCCAGGUAGAAACUUAACCAUACUGGGCAGCCAUCAUUCUAUGACCAUCAGAAUAAAUAAAUAUGUAUAUGCAUUUGUGUGUGUGUGUGUGUGUGUGUGUGUGUCUGUCUGUCUGCCUGUCUCCACUUCUCCACCCACAUUCCGUUAACCAGUUAGUCACAUGGCCCCACUCGGAGGCUAGGGAGAUGGGAAAUAGUCUGUGUACUUACAAAGGCAAAGAAAUGGUUUGAUGAACAUAUAGCAUUGUUUUUACCACAAUAUUAAAAUGAUUCCCUGUUUUUAUCCCUCAAGGCACAGCCUCUGAAAUCAAACUGCUUAGAUUCAAAUCCAGGCUCUACCACAUACUAUCUGAACUCUUUCCAUCAAGUUAUUUCACUCCUCUGGGUCUCAGUUUCCUCAUCUAUAAUAGUCAUAUACUUCAGAAGAUGAUCAUGAAGAAUAAAAGAAUUAACAUUUGCAAAGGCUUAAAACAGUGACUUAUAAAUUAUCAUUAUCAUUCUAUUUAUUCACCUAAUAAUCCAUGAAUUUUUAGAUUUUUUUUUGGGGGGGGCAUACCAGGGAUUGAACUCAGGGGCACUUAACCACUGAGCCACAUCCCCAGCCCUAUUUUGUAUUUUAUUUGAAGACAGGGUCUCACUGAGUUGGUCAGCAUUUUGAUUUUGUGGAGUCUAGCUUUGAACUCAUGAUCCUCCUGCCUCAGCCUCCCAAGCUGCCCAGAUUAUAGGUGUGCUCCACCAUGCCUGGCUUUAUCUUCUGUACUCACAUGAUUAUCUUUCUAGUAUAGCCAGCACUUAGCUUAGUACCCAUCUAUUGCCUUUGAUGAAUGAAUGGGACAAGUAUAUUCCUUCGCUGAUGUUCUAUUGUUCUUUUUAUAUUGCAUUACUUUUGUAGAAUAAGACUAAUAUAUUUAAUAUAUUUAUAUGGAAUGAAAUGCCAGGAGUUUCUUUUAAAAUACUUGAGAAAAAAUGUUGGGGGAAGUAGAUAAAAAAGAUUGGAAAAAUGUUGAUCUUGUUCUGUUUCUAUUGCGUUGACGGUUGUUCAAGUUGAUGAUAAAUACAUGGCAACUCAGGGGCUGGGGUCGGGGCUGAGCAGUAGAGCACUUGCCUAGCACGUGCGAGGCCCUGGGUUCGAUCCUCAGCACCACAUAAAAAUAAAUAAAUAAAAUAAAGGUUUAAAAAAAAAAAGAGAGAAAUAUUUUAAAAAAACAUGAAGGCUCAUAUUCUUUCUCUUCUAUAUAUUUGAGGACAUACACAGUAAAGUCUUUUGAAAACAAGACUGGGCAUGGGUAGUCAAUUAAAAGCUUAGAUCUUUUUUCUUUCCUAAUGAACAACAUUUCAUACAUAUCUACUCAGUGUUUCAGAUUUUAAAACAUUUUUGUAAUUUCUAGUGUUUAAAGCUAACAUAAAAAAGAAGACUAUAAGGAAACUUCAAUUAUAACUGCUAUGAAAGAGAUAAAGAUAUCAGAUAGUUUAACACUUUGGGUUUUAGGCAUGGAAAAGAAUGUUUCCAACGAACUCUUAAAAAACGUACCCAAAUUUAUAAUCUGUUUUCUAACUGCUAAAAUGCAACAUCUUAUAAAUAAGUGAUUCCUAAUGGGGGAAUAAAGGAAGAAGAAAAGGAGGGGCACUGUUAGAAAGGAGAAGGAGCCAGGCUUAGGGGCACACACCUGUAAUCCCUGUAAGUGGACUUCCCCCUGUAAAACCUGUAAGCGGCUCAGGAGGCUGAGGCAGGAGGGUCAAAAGUUCAAAGCCAGCCUCAGCAACUUAGCAAGGCUCUAAGCAACUCAGUGAGACCCUGUCUCUAAAUAAAAUAUUUUAAAAAGGGCUGGGGAUGUAGCUCAGUGGUUAAACCCCCAGGUUCAAUCCCUGGUACCAAAAAAAAAAAAGAGAGAGAGAGAGAGAGAGAGAAAAGGAGCCCAUUUAGGGCACAAUUAUAUUCUCUCUGAAAAAAUGAAAAUCUCAUCUUACCUUGUUCCAUCUUUGUUAGGGAAGCGACCCCCCUCAGUCUGGCAAGGAGUAAAACUGCCAUGGAUAGAUGCUGAAAGUAAACAACAAGAUGGGAGGGGCAUCAGUGAGGUGGCUCUGGUUCCCAUGUCACCAUGUCUUGUGGAGAGAUGCAGCAGACCCCCAUGGAGACCACAUGCACAGGAGUUGCACCACAGCUAAGGAGCCAAGGCCAAGGGCUGCAUAUCUUCAUUCGCAUCUGAGCGAAACAAGGCUGUUUUGGUACACACUGGGAAGGAGCAGGGUGUGAUGCAUGGCAGACAGUUCUGCGUUGUGAGGGUGUCAGGAGUGGCUGAAUAGUCCUGCUGGUGUGAGGGUAUUCAGAAUGAGGAUGGGGAUGCAGCAGGGUCUUCUUACCAACUGCAGCUGCUGCCUGACUCAAGGGACAGGGUGUCUUAUGCUGCUGCAGGGCUGGAUCUAGGGGGAAAAGAAAGCAUUAAAUACUCCCCUUCUCCAACUCCCACACCUCUUAGGGACUAAAGUAGUCCUUCCUUCCUCAGAUGCCCAGGUUCUUGUUCUUUCCAUAGCCACAUAGUCCCUUUGUUUUACGUCACUGGCCACUAUUUCUCCUCCCUUCACAAGGGCCUCUGCCACCUGCACCCACAUGGGUGAUGACUAACUGAGCACUGUGUUAGAACUUGAACAACCCAG